rnacentral:rRNA from 1 species
GAUGAACGCUAGCGGCAGGCUUAACACAUGCAAGUCGAGGGGUAACAGGGUGCUUGCACCGCUGACGACCGGCGCACGGGUGCGUAACGCGUAUAGAACCUACCUUUUACAGGGGAAUAGCCCAGAGAAAUUUGGAUUAAUGCCCCAUAGUAUUAUAGAAUGGCAUCAUUUUAUAAUUAAACAUUUAUGGGUAAAAGAUGGCUAUGCGUUCUAUUAGCUAGAUGGUAAGGUAACGGCUUACCAUGGCAACGAUAGAUAGGGGUCCUGAGAGGGAGAUCCCCCACACUGGUACUGAGACACGGACCAGACUCCUACGGGAGGCAGCAGUGAGGAAUAUUGGACAAUGGAGGCAACUCUGAUCCAGCCAUGCCGCGUGCAGGAAGACGGUCCUAUGGAUUGUAAACUGCUUUUAUACAGGAAGAAAUAAUCCCUCGUGAGGGAUCUUGACGGUACUGUAAGAAUAAGCACCGGCUAACUCCGUGCCAGCAGCCGCGGUAAUACGGAGGGUGCAAGCGUUAUCCGGAAUCAUUGGGUUUAAAGGGUCCGUAGGCGGACUAAUAAGUCAGGGGUGAAAUCCAACAGCUUAACUGUUGAACUGCCUUUGAUACUGUUAGUCUUGAAUUAUAUGGAAGUAGAUAGAAUAUGUAGUGUAGCGGUGAAAUGCUUAGAGAUUACAUAGAAAUACCGAUUGCGAAAGGC